rnacentral:rRNA from 1 species
GACGAACGCUGGCGGCGUGCUUAACACAUGCAAGUCGAACGAUGAACCCGGAGCUUGCUCCGGUGGAUUAGUGGCGAACGGGUGAGUAACACGUGAGUAACCUGCCCUUGACUCUGGGAUAACUGCGGGAAACUGUAGCUAAUACCGGAUACGACCCUCGGCGGCAUCGCCAGGGGGUGGAAAGAAUUUCGGUCAAGGAUGGACUCGCGGCCUAUCAGCUAGUUGGUGAGGUAACGGCUCACCAAGGCGACGACGGGUAGCCGGCCUGAGAGGGUGAACGGCCACACUGGGACUGAGACACGGCCCAGACUCCUACGGGAGGCAGCAGUGGGGAAUAUUGCGCAAUGGGCGAAAGCCUGACGCAGCGACGCCGCGUGAGGGACGAAGGUCUUCGGAUUGUAAACCUCUUUCAGCAGGGACGAAGCGAAAGUGACUGUACCUGCAGAAGGAGCACCGGCUAACUACGUGCCAGCCGCCGCCGUAA